rnacentral:rRNA from 1 species
UACGUAGGGUGCAAGCGUUAAUCGGAAUUACUGGGCGUAAAGCGUGCGCAGGCGGUUAUGUAAGACAGAUGUGAAAUCCCCGGGCUCAACCUGGGAACUGCAUUUGUGACUGCAUAGCUAGAGUACGGUAGAGGGGGAUGGAAUUCCGCGUGUAGCAGUGAAAUGCGUAGAUAUGCGGAGGAACACCGAUGGCGAAGGCAAUCCCCUGGACCUGUACUGACGCUCAUGCACGAAAAGGCGUGGGGAGCAAACAGG